rnacentral:lncRNA from 1 species
CGAUUCCGAAGUUUUAUUAUAUAAAUAGUCAGUUAUUUCUCGUAUUUUAAAUAAACAGAUAAAAAGUGUACGAGUUGAAGAAAGGAGCGAAAACGAACCGAAAAGGAGCAAAAAUGGACAAAAAGGCCACACAUGUGCAGCCAAUUGGGCCACACAUGUGCAGCCCACAAAUGCUCGCCAGCCAAGCCAAGAUGGCGCCCGCC